GUCUCAGUGGCGUGGUGGUUAACGCACGGCCCGGCUAGGCCGGAGAUGUGGGUUCGAAUCCCGCGUGAGAUG
rnacentral:tRNA from 1 species